rnacentral:rRNA from 1 species
GACGAACGCUGGCGGCGGGCUUAACACAUGCAAGUCGAACGAGAAAGGGUUCUUCGGAACCCGAGUAAAGUGGCGAACGGGUGCGUAACACGUAGGUAACCUGCCCUUGAGUGGGGAAUAACUACCGGAAACGGUAGCUAAUACCGCAUGAAGACCAGGGAUCGCAUGAUCUUUGGUUGAAAGACUUCGGUUGCUCAAGGAUGGGCCUGCGGCGGAUUAGCUUGUUGGUGAGGUAAAGGCUCACCAAGGCUACGAUCCGUAGCUGGUCUGAGAGGAUGAUCAGCCACACUGGCACUGAGACACGGGCCAGACUCCUACGGGAGGCAGCAGUGAGGAAUCUUGCGCAAUGGAGGAAACUCUGACGCAGCCACGCCGCGUGAAGGAAGACACCCCUAUGGGGCGUAAACUUCUUUUAUAUGGGAAGAACCCCCUGCCCGGCAGGGUCUGACGGUACCAUAUGAAUAAGCACCGGCUAACUCCGUGCCAGCAGCCGCGGUAAU